GACGAACGCUGGCGGCGUGCCUAAUACAUGCAAGUCGAACGCUUUUCCUUUCACCGGAGCUUGCUCCACCGAAAGAAAAAGAGUGGCGAACGGGUGAGUAACACGUGGGUAACCUGCCCAUCAGAAGGGGAUAACACUUGGAAACAGGUGCUAAUACCGUAUAACACUAUUUUCCGCAUGGAAGAAAGUUGAAAGGCGCUUUUGCGUCACUGAUGGAUGGACCCGCGGUGCAUUAGCUAGUUGGUGAGGUAACGGCUCACCAAGGCAACGAUGCAUAGCCGACCUGAGAGGGUGAUCGGCCACACUGGGACUGAGACACGGCCCAGACUCCUACGGGAGGCAGCAGUAGGGAAUCUUCGGCAAUGGACGAAAGUCUGACCGAGCAACGCCGCGUGAGUGAAGAAGGUUUUCGGAUCGUAAAACUCUGUUGUUAGAGAAGAACAAGGAUGAGAGUAAAACGUUCAUCCCUUGACGGUAUCUAACCAGAAAGCCACGGCUAACUACGUGCCAGCCGCCGCCGUAA
rnacentral:rRNA from 1 species